GACGAACGCUGGCGGCGCGCCUAACACAUGCAAGUCGAACGAGCGAGAGAGAGCUUGCUUUCUCAAGCGAGUGGCGAACGGGUGAGUAACGCGUGAGGAACCUGCCUCAAAGAGGGGGACAACAGUUGGAAACGACUGCUAAUACCGCAUAAGCCCACAGGUCGGCAUCGACCAGAGGGAAAAGGAGCAAUCCGCUUUGAGAUGGCCUCGCGUCCGAUUAGCUAGUUGGUGAGGUAACGGCCCACCAAGGCAACGAUCGGUAGCCGGACGGAGAGGUUGAGCGGCCACAUUGGGACUGAGACACGGCCCAGACUCCUACGGGAGGCAGCAGUGGGGAAUAGUGCACAAUGGGGGAAACCCUGAUGCAGCGACGCCGCGUGGAGGAAGAAGGUCGUCGGAUGGUAAACUCCUGUUGUUGAGGAAGAUAAUGACGGUACUCAACAAGGAAGUGACGGCUAACUACGUG
rnacentral:rRNA from 1 species